UACAGAGGGGGCAAGCGUUGUUCGGAAUUACUGGGCGUAAAGGGCGCGUAGGCGGCCUUCUAAGUCGAACGUGAAAUCCCCGGGCUCAACCCGGGAACUGCGUCCGAUACUGGAAGGCUUGAAUCCGGGAGAGGGAUGCGGAAUUCCAGGUGUAGCGGUGAAAUGCGUAGAUAUCGGGAAGAACACCCGUGGCGAAGGCGGCUCUCUGGGACGGUACUGACGCUGAGACGCGAAAGCGUGGGGAGCGAACAGG
rnacentral:rRNA from 1 species